rnacentral:rRNA from 1 species
UACGGAAGGGGCAAGCGUUGUUCGGAAUCAUUGGGCGUAAAGGGCGCGUAGGUGGUUCUGUAUGUCUACCGUGAAAGCAUACAGCUCAACUGUAUUUUGUCGGUAGAAACUGCAGGACUUGAGGCUGGGAGGGGCUGGUGGAAUUCCCUGUGUAGCGGUGAAAUGCGUAGAGAUGGGGGAGAACACUCGUGGCGAAGGCGGCCAGCUAGACCAGUUCUGACACUGAGGCGCGACGGCGUGGGGAGCAAACAGG